GAUGAACGCUGGCGGCGUGCCUAACACAUGCAAGUCGAACGAACAGACGAGGAUCUUUCUCUUCUGACGUUAGCGGCGGGCGGGUGAGUAACAGGUGGAUAACUAACCUAUAAGUCUGGGGUCAUUUCGGGAGAGCGGAGAUAAUAACAGAGCAUAUAUUGAACCGUAUGGUUCAAUAGUGAAAGACGGCUUUGCUGAAACUUAUAGAGGUAUACGAGCCGCAUUAGCUAGUUGGUAAGGUAACGGCUUACCAAGGCAACGAUGCGUAGCCGACCUGAGAGGGUGAUCGGCCACACUGGAACUGAGACACGGUCCAGACUCCUACGGGAGGCAGCAGUAGGGAAUCUUCCGCAAUGGGCGAAAGCCUGACAGAGCAACGCCGCGUGAGUGAUGAAGGUCUUCGGAUCGUAAAACUCUGUUAUUAGGGAAGAACAAAUGUGUAAUUAACUAUGCACGUCUUGACGGUACCUAAUCAGAAAGCCACGGCUAACUACGUG
rnacentral:rRNA from 1 species